UACGGGGGGGGCAAGCGUUGUUCGGAAUUACUGGGCGUAAAGGGCUCGUAGGCGGCCAACUAAGUCAGACGUGAAAUCCCUCGGCUUAACCGGGGAACUGCGUCUGAUACUGGAUGGCUUGAGUUUGGGAGAGGGAUGCGGAAUUCCAGGUGUAGCGGUGAAAUGCGUAGAUAUCAGGAGGAACACCGGUGGCGAAGGCGGCUAUCUGGACAGAGUCUGACGCUGAGGCGCGAAAGCUAGGGGAGCAAACAGG
rnacentral:rRNA from 1 species